UUAGUUCAAAUUUGCUACUUAACUGAAACGACCAAACCUGCAUUACAAAAUUUUACCCAACAAAUUAAGGCCUGCAGCUUCAGCUUCGUUUGUCAAGCUGUCCGAAAUUGAGUUUCCGAACAGGUCUAGGGAAAAGGCAAACAAAAACUGGGCUUAGGCCCAAGUCUGCACAUUAACUGAUUUAAAGGGGCCAAUGAUAUUAAGGCCUAUUGCUAUGUAACUGGGCCAUAUUAGCCAAAUUCUUAUGGCCCAAAAGUCCAGGCCAAGAAUGUAUUGGAUCUCUUUUCAAGGUGGAGCUGGCAAUAGAUCGAAUAUAGUGGUUUAUUCAAAAUGGAGGAAAUAAAUUCUUAACUAUCUUUUAAUAAUAGGUUUCGAGCCCAGACCCAAAACAGCUCGAAGAACAUAACCUGUUUAAACCAAACAUGUAGCUAGAUACUUAAUAGUACCACAUUAUUAACACGCGUAAUUUUGGGCCUGAUUUCUGUUGAUUCGGCCCAUGAGCAAACCAGUCUACAAACAGAAAUCACCUAACAAUACUAACCCUCAGAUAAACAUGGCAUGCAUAUUAACACUGAUCUUUCAUACACAAAAUCCCAUUAACACUUAACCAGGCUAAUCAUGAACCAACUCUUAAUACAUUAUGCUAUAGCAAAGGGCUUAAUGCAUUAUAAGUCUAAUAAUGGAAUAAAAUCAUUCAAAACAUGAAGGAAAUCAAAGAAAUGAACUGAAAGUCCAUCACAUGAACUUCAGUCCACUUCUGCCAAGGGUUACAAACCAUUUUAUUCACAGCUAAUAAAAGCAGAAAUCAUAAUAAACUACAACACAAAUCCGAUAAUGAAUUGGACUAAAAUUCAUGCUUCAAUUCUUCAAAUUGAUUCAUUCCUCAAGUUUCACUUCACAAUUAACAGGGCUACAAAGCUGUGCAACUGGAAAUUAAGGAAAGUAAGAAGAAGAAUCAGCAACAGCUAACAGUAGGCAGCAGCAGUUUCAAAUUAAUUCCAACCCAGGAGAUGAUAUCAAGUCACCCCGAAAAUAAUUUCAGGUAAAUCACAUCAGUAAUCACCCAAAACUAACUUGAAUGAACCAAAUUCAACUCAAAAAAUAACCUCAGGACUCUCUGAAGCUUCAACUAUCAAAACACAUGGAAAUUCAAACCAUUUUUUUCGACCUUAGGUAAGCUGGAACUUCAAUUCAGGACUUAGAACUUAAAAGUUACUGUAGAAAUUUCAAUGGAAUAGUGAUUUCUGGAGUUUUUAUUGCCUGCAGCUGCACAUUAGGGUGGAGGAGGUCUUAGGGGCGUUGCGUAGGAUGAGUAGGGGUCGAGCGACCGGGCCUGACGAGAUCUCGGUGGAGUUCUGG
rnacentral:lncRNA from 1 species